AAGAAUAGCUGACUGAUGUGAGGAGAACUGGAGUCGGAGUGGGAGUCAGGAGUGGGAAGAGAAAGUGAGACGGGAAGACAGAGAGUUAGAACCAACCUCUCAGGAGUGACUCUGUGCCAGCCUGGCUGCUAAAUCACCGACACUGCCGUAAUUGAAACAGAAAAUCAUGUCCGACAACAGCCUAGCAACACCACCAUUAGCAGCUGGGCUUCUCUGCUUUGAACCAGGGAGCUAAUAUGCCUCUUUAAGUAUUCGAGGGCACUGCCAGAUGUAUAUCUUCCCCAAUAUUUCAACACCGACUGGGCCCUUCCCACCCCUUCUUACCUCCACAAGAGACAUGGGGCUGCUCAUGCCAGGAAGACUAAACUUGGCUGUGGGACCCAAGGCUGCCCAGCUGUGUGGCUGAUGCAAAAAUUUUCUUCCUUUCUCCCUCCAUCUCUUCCUCCCUUCUUCCCUUUCUCUGCUGGCAUUGAGCUUGUGUUUGGGCCGAGGAAGCUGAAACCAAACAAAUGAUCCCACAAACCUAAAAGUAAACUGCAACAAAUGUCCCCAAUUAAUUAAGCCGCUCUCCAAGGGGAUCUGACGGCUCUGGAAUGAAGAAGGAGGCAGUGGUGAGAACAGAAUAAAGAAACUGGGAUAUACAGGAGAAGACUGCUCUGCACACCCACAGCUGGAGCACAGGCGCUGAGCUGGAAGGAGCCUGGCGUGUGCGAUGAGCUAGACCUACCAAGGCACAAGGCCAGGGGGUGACUGUACAGCUUCAAGAAUGGUGCCGCCAGCUGGCUCAGCAGUUAAGAGCACUUCCUGGACAAACAUGAGGACCAGAGUUCAGAUCCCAGGACCCGUGUAACAAGCCAGCUAUCCCACACACACCUGUAACCCCAGCUCCAAGGAAGGUGGUGAGAUAGAUUUCUUGGGUUGGCUGACUUCCAGUCUAGAGACCCUGUCUUCAAAGAAUGGGCAGAUGCUGGAAGAGAAACUGAGGCUUUCUUCUGGCCUCUGUGGGCACAGACUGGUGCAUACAGCUGCACACACUCACACAUACACACAACAAAUAUAUGAGUAAAUAAGUCUUUAGAAAGAGAAUAGUUCUCUCUGCCCCUCAUUUCACUCUGGGGAAACCAGUGACCAUGCUGUGGGGAUACCCUAGCAGCAUUGCAGGGAGUCUACACAGGCAACAACUGUAGCCUCCCACCGAGACUCCAAGGACCUGCCAGCUGCGGGGCUGCUACAGUUUCGAUCUCCAAAGGCCCAUGUACAGAAGACCAGGUCCUAUGUCUGUAACACCACUGCCAGGUGCUCGAACCUCAAAGAGGCAGAGCCUGGUGGGAGGAAGUUAGCUGGCAGGGGCGGGGCCACAUCCAGGAAGAGGAUAUUGGAACCUUGGCCCUUUCCUAUCUCUCCUUUGUUUCCUGGCCACCAUGAAAGAAGAUGCCCACUCUGCCACAUCCUCCCUGCAUGGUAUGCUGUCUCACCACAUCUUCCAGAGUAAUGGGCCUGCUGACCAGGAAUGCGACUUCUGACUCUGUGAGCCCAAACAAGGCUCUCCUUCUUGGAAGCAGAAUUCUAUCGAGUACUCUGUCAGUGGCAGAGAGCCUGCACAGUUGUACGAGACACCCAGGAAGGAGACAGACCAUGAAACCAGCCCAGGCAAGCCUUCAGAUGACUGGAUACCUCAGCCUGUGGGGAUUCCAGGAGGGGGCCCAGACAUCAUGGAUCAGACACCAGCUGUCCCACGUGCUCUGUCUCUACCCCUUUCCUACACACAGGCACAAAAAUGUCUCCUCUGUAGUUUUGGCAUGUAUGGAACCUUCUAGAAACACACCUAUUGUGUAAGUCAAGGGCACAACUGCAUUUUGUUUUGUUUGAAUGUUUUUGUGUAUAUGAGGUAAGGUCCCACUGUGAAGCCUAGGUUGUUCUAGAUGUUGCUACGUAGCCCAGGCUGGCCUUGAACUCACAAUCCUGCUGCUUCUAUUUACGCACUGGAAUUAGAAGUGCGUGCUUCAAUGCCCCAUUCUGUCUGAGGUUUUAUUUUAGAUGUUGCCUUUUGGGAAAGUGAUUAAAAUAUCAAUAAAAUCAGGCAUGAAACCGGUCA